rnacentral:rRNA from 1 species
CGGGUGCAGUAACACGUGGGAACCUGCCUUUGGGUUCGGAAUAACUCCGGGAAACUUGUGCUAAUACCGGAUGUGGCCUUCGGGGGAAGAUUUAUCGCCCAGGGAGGGGCCCGCGUCUGAUUAGCUAGUUGGUGGGGUAAAGGCUCACCAAGGCGACGAUCCUUAGCUGGUCUGAGAGGAUGAUCAGCCACAUUGGGACUGAGACACGGCCCAAACUCCUACGGGAGGCAGCAGUGGGGAAUAUUGGACAAUGGGCGAAAGCCUGACCCAGCCAUGCCGCGUGAAUGAUGAAGGUCUUAGGGUUGUAAAAUUCUUUCACCGGAGACGAUAAUGACAGUAUCCGGAGAAUAAGCUCCGGCUAACUUCGUGCCAGCAGCCGCGGUAAUACGGAGGGAGCUAGCGUUGCUCGGAAUUACUGGGCGUAAAGCGCACGUAGGCGGCCAUUUAAGUCAGAGGUGAAAUCCCGGGGCUCAACCUCGGAACUGCCUUUGAUACUGGAUGGCUAGAAUAUUAGAGAGGUGUGUGGAACUCCGAGUGUAGAGGUGAAAUUCGUAGAUAUUCGGAAGAACACCAGUGGCGAAGGCGACUCGCUGGCUCAUUACUGACGCUGAGGCGCGAAAGCGU